rnacentral:rRNA from 1 species
AUUGAACGCUGGCGGCAGGCCUAACACAUGCAAGUCGAGCGGAUGAAGGGAGCUUGCUCCUGGAUUCAGCGGCGGACGGGUGAGUAAUGCCUGGAAUCUGCCUGGGAGUGGGGGAUAACGUCCGGAAACGGGCGCUAAUACCGCAUACGUCCUGAGGGAGAAAGUGGGGGAUCUUCGGACCCCACGCUAUCAGAUGAGCCUAGGUCGGAUUAGCUAGUUGGUGGGGUAAAGGCCUACCAAGGCGACGAUCCGUAACUGGUCUGAGAGGAUGAUCAGUCACACUGGAACUGAGACACGGUCCAGACUCCUACGGGAGGCAGCAGUGGGGAAUAUUGGACAAUGGGCGAAAGCCUGAUCCAGCCAUGCCGCGUGUGUGAAGAAGGUCUUCGGAUUGUAAAGCACUUUAAGUUGGGAGGAAGGGCAGUAAGUUAAUACCUUGCUGUUUUGACGUUACCAACAGAAUAAGCACCGGCUAACUUCGUG